rnacentral:rRNA from 1 species
AUUGAACGCUGGCGGCAUGCUUUACACAUGCAAGUCGAACGGUAACAGGCCGCAAGGUGCUGACGAGUGGCGAACGGGUGAGUAAUGCAUCGGAACGUGCCCAGUCGUGGGGGAUAACUGCUCGAAAGAGCAGCUAAUACCGCAUACGAUCUAUGGAUGAAAGUGGGGGACCGUAAGGCCUCGCGCGAUUGGAGCGGCCGAUGUCAGAUUAGGUAGUUGGUGGGGUAAAGGCUCACCAAGCCAACGAUCUGUAGCUGGUCUGAGAGGACGACCAGCCACACUGGGACUGAGACACGGCCCAGACUCCUACGGGAGGCAGCAGUGGGGUAUUUUGGACAAUGGGGGCAACCCUGAUCCAGCAAUGCCGCGUGCAGGAAGAAGGCCUUCGGGUUGUAAACUGCUUUUGUACGGAACGAAACGGUCUGGGUUAAUACCCUGGGCUAAUGACGGUACCGUAAGAAUAAGCACCGGCUAACUACGUGCCAGCAGCCGCAGUAAAAC